CGGGUUUACCGCCAGGAGAAGCAGUUACGCCGCGUCAAUCAAUCAUAACGGACACGGAUUUCAAAGGCAGCAGGAUGAAAGAUAACCAUGUAUCAGGUCUGUGUUCAUCAAGACAUGAAGACUCUGGAGUGGGACAAGAGAAGGAUGAUGGGGUGUAUAUUCGAAUAGACACAUUAAGGUAAAGAGGUGAGACAAGGAUGCUGACAGGACAGGAGGAGGUGACAUUCAGUGGGCUGUUGUAAUGUUUACAUCUAUGGGAAGAGGAGCUGAGAAGAAAAGAGAGGCUGGAAAGCAGUACUUCUUGUAGAGGAUAAUCCUGAAUAGGAACACUUUCUCAUAUACACAUAGAUUAUUAUUAGUGUUUGAUAUUUUUUUCAUUUUUAUUAAUUGUAUUGUUUUAAUAUUUUGUUUUAUUUGAAAUGACCCAAGUUAGAUUCAUGCUAAUACUUUAACUGAAACUUGUAUCUUUGCGUGAAGCUGGAUGUGUCAGGACUCUGCCUUGAAGUCUUGUUAUAUUUGUAUUUUGUCAUGGUGGCAGAGUUCUGGCAGUCCCUGGCCUUGUGUGGAGGUUCAUGCCUUGUUUUUGUGUUUGGCAUGUGCCUCCGGUGUCUUGUCCUGUGACCCCGCCCCCUCGUUCUCCUGCUUAUUAGUUAUCAUUAGUUUAUAUCCAUCACCUGUCUUGCCUCAUUAUCUUGUUUAGCUUUUCUAUAUAUAUCCUUUCGUGUUCAUUGUCAUUUGCUGUGUCAUUUUGUAUAGUUCUUGUGUCUACUGUUCUUGUUAAAGAGAAGAUCCAGUUAGUCUAGUUUCAUGUCCUAGUCAAGUUCAGUGUUUAGUCUUUGGUCAUUUCGUUCUGUUCAUGUGUUUGCUCCCUCGUGGGCUUUUGUUUUUGUGUUUGUAAAUAAAGUGUUUUUUGUUCCCCGCUGACAUCGGUUGCAUUUGGGUUCUCCCCUGCAAAUUCCUCACAGGAUGUAAAGUUGGUUUCACAUACACAUGAAGUUUCUAAAUAACUUAACUAACUUUUAAGUUCAGUUUGGUUUAAACUUGUAUUUACCCAUGGUAAUUCAUUUAAAUUUCAAUUCAUGCUAAUAUAUUAAUUUCAAUGAAAACUUCUGUAUUUGUAUAUAGCUGGUAAUUUGGGCAAACUACGUUUAACACAAAUGUAACUGUCACAAAGUUUUUUUUAUUAUCAGUUUGUUCUAAACUUUUGUCUGUUUACUAAGGAUGAAAUUGCUUUGUAAUUUAAGUUGUUGGUGUUAGAUUCAUGCCAAUAAUGUAUUUGAACAAACUAGUAUUUUUGUUUAUUGCUGGCAGUUUAUACUACAGUAGAAGAGUUUUAAGACGUACAAUGUUGUAGUGUUAUUGACUUGUGUGUUAUUUAUUAA